GGGUUAGUAACGCGUGGGAAUAUACCCUUCACUAUGGAAUAGCCUCGGGAAACUGAGAGUAAUACCAUAUACGCCCUUCGGGGGAAAGAUUUAUCGGGGAAGGAUUAGCCCGCGUAAGAUUAGAUAGUUGGUGGGGUAAUGGCCUACCAAGUCUACGAUCUUUAGCUGGUUUUAGAGGAUGAUCAGCAACACUGGGACUGAGACACGGCCCAGACUCCUACGGGAGGCAGCAGUGGGGAAUCUUAGACAAUGGGCGAAAGCCUGAUCUAGCCAUGCCGCGUGAGUGAUGAAGGUCUUAGGAUCGUAAAGCUCUUUCGCUAGGGAUGAUAAUGACAGUACCUAGUAAAGAAGCCCCGGCUAACUCCGUGCCAGCAGCCGCGGUAAUACGGAGGGGGCUAGCGUUGUUCGGAAUUACUGGGCGUAAAGCGUACGUAGGCGGAUCAGAAAGUAUGGGGUGAAAUCCCAGGGCUUAACCCUGGAACUGCCUCAUAAACUCCUGGUCUUGAGUUCGAGAGAGGUGAGUGGAAUUCCAAGUGUAGAGGUGAAAUUCGUAGAUAUUUGGAGGAACACCAGUGGCGAAGGCGGCUCACUGGCUCGAUACUGACGCUGAGGUACGAAAGUGUGGGGAGCAAACAGGAUUAGAUACCCUGGUAGUCCACACCGUAAACGAUGAAUGCCAGUCGUCGGGCAGUAUAC
rnacentral:rRNA from 1 species